rnacentral:rRNA from 1 species
AGAAUCAACGCUGGCGGCGUGCCUAACACAUGCAAGUCGAACGAGAAAGUGGAGCAAUCCAUGAGUAAAGUGGCGCACGGGUGAGUAACACGUGACUAACCUACCCUUGAGUGGGGGAUAACCUAGAGAAAUCUGGGCUAAUACCGCAUAAUACCUUCGGGUCAAAGGAGCAAUUCGCUUAAGGAGGGGGUCGCGGCCGAUUAGUUAGUUGGCGGGGUAAUGGCCCACCAAGACUAUGAUCGGUAUCCGGCCUGAGAGGGCGCACGGACACACUGGAACUGAAACACGGUCCAGACUCCUACGGGAGGCAGCAGUGGGAAUUUUGCGCAAUGGGGGAAACCCUGACGCAGCAACGCCGCGUGGAGGAUGAAGUCCCUUGGGACGUAAACUCCUUUCGAUCGGGACGAUAAUGACGGUACCGAGAGAAGAAGCCCCGGCUAACUCGCGCCAGCAGCCGC